GCUGGUUUAAAACUUAGUUAGUUUUAGGUUUCGAAAAAUAGCAACAUUUUAAUUUGGUUUUGCAAAUCCUGUCCCAUCCCUCUCCGGCACUUUACCUACGGACGCGUGCGAGCGAGAUCGUGUGGUGACAUCGAGACGAAAAAAUAUGGCUGAACAACCGCGCGCGCGCUUCGUGUCUUUGUUAUGUUAAAUACGUAAAUAAGUGAAAUCGUUGGUGUUUCUCAUCGCGAAGUGGUACGAGUCUGCAGUAAGGACUACAUAAAGGAUCAUUAACAUGACCUAUCGAUCGAUGACUUAUCAAUCUGCAUUUGCAAGAAGAUUUGCAACUUCAAGAUUAUUGAAAUUUGCACAAGUAUCAAGGACCGAUGACUUGACCGAUAACUAGUUUCUACUUGGGCAUCUUUUUACCGUGACCAGGAGGUUCAGCAACAUAGUCUCGCUUAGAAGCAGCCGAGUCCUCUCUUCGAGUACAUUUAUUAACAUUACCAUGACCACGUUUCCCUCGUUACACUCCGAGGUACCAGCACAACGAGCUAAAGAAACUCAUCAAAACUUUUUUUUUUUUUACUCCUGGCAACGAGUACACCGCACUGAGUUCGUGACAUCUUCGCAACGCAAAUUACGCGUGGUAGUGCGAUCUCCACUCCAGAAGGGAGUCGCAUCCCGGCGCGGGGGAAAUUCGAGCGCGGAAGCUUCAAUCUCGGCGUGGCGUGAUCUAGGCAUGGUCUCGCCGCCUGACGCCGAUAUUCGGAUUCUGCGAUUCCAUCAUUUCGCAAAUGGAGGCGGCGGAGCGGGAGAAGGAGUGCUCUUCUUAACUCUCGGCGCCGUGCCAUCAACGCCGAGCCGUUGGUUGGGAAAGAGUGUUCGUCCAGCUUCGGCCCCUAUGAGGAAGCCGUCUCCUCCCAGUGAUAGUCACGGGGAGACCUGAGGGGGUCGAGGCUGCGUCGCACGCUACCGUCCACUCUAACGCGCUGGAACCAGCAGGAUGGGACGACUCAUCGGCUACUACGACCCGCGUAGCUGUUGUCGCCGAACAUACUGUGGAAAAGCAACCCGGUCGGCAGUGCAUCGCGUUCCGACCCAACAGGCUGGUUCUGACCCAGCGGAGUAUCCCGGAACACCAGCGGCAUUGCUCGAGCAGCGUGACGGGCCACUGUACCGCGGAGAUCGGCGUCGUUUCGCGUCGACAAUCGUCUCAACGACUCGUCGGUCGGGCGUCCUCACCGCCGCAAGUCUGAUUGUAGUGUUGAUAGCGGAAGCCCCCCUACUUUUACCGUAUUCUGACCCCAGGCGGAGAUCGGACAUCGGGUAUGAGAGUGCAAGGUGGAGUCGUUUGGUGGAGUAGAGCUCUAAAAAUAUCCUCGGACCCGUGAUCUGCUCCUGACAUCUGCAGACCGUCAAGUCCCACAUACCGCGUAUGCUCCCUAGGCGCCAAUACCUUAUAGGAGGUUCGGUUGCCUGUCCAAAAUAAACCUGUAUUUAUUUCAGCAUAUAAUUGGGCGCAAUUUCAGCGAAUCCUUUUACAGGGGUCGUGCAGAGAGAAUAAAAUGUAUUGUUAAAUAUGUUUGUGAUAUACCAAAAUUUUGCGGUAACAUUUUGCGCUGAAAAGUUUUAAUUUGAAUUAAAAUUUAAACUUUGUAA